AAGUCGUAACAAGGUUUCCGUAGGUGAACCUGCGGAAGGAUCAUUACAGUAUUCUUUUUGCCAGCGCUUAAUUGCGCGGCGAAAAAACCUUACACACAGUGUUUUUUGUUAUUACAAGAACUUUUGCUUUGGUCUGGACUAGAAAUAGUUUGGGCCAGAGGUUUACUGAACUAAACUUCAAUAUUUAUAUUGAAUUGUUAUUUAUUUAAUUGUCAAUUUGUUGAUUAAAUUCAAAAAAUCUUCAAAACUUUCAACAACGGAUCUCUUGGUUCUG
rnacentral:misc_RNA from 1 species